UACGGGGGGGGUAAGCGUUGUUCGGAAUUACUGGGCGUAAAGGGCUCGUAGGCGGCCAACUAAGUCAGACGUGAAAUCCCUCAGCUUAACUGGGGAACUGCGUCUGAAACUGAUCGGCUCGAGUGCAGGAGAGGAACGCGGAAUUCCAGGUGUAGCGGUGAAAUGCGUAGAUAUCUGGAGGAACACCGGUGGCGAAGGCGGCGUUCUGGACUGCAACUGACACUGUAAAACGAAAGCCAGGGGAGCAAACGGG
rnacentral:rRNA from 1 species